AUUGAACGCUGGCGGUAGGCCUAACACAUGCAAGUCGAACGCGAAAGUCCUUCGGGAUGAGUAGAGUGGCGGACGGGUGAGUAACGCGUAGGAAUCUAUCCUGUAGUGGGGGAUAACGUUUCGAAAGGAACGCUAAUACCGCAUACGCCCCAAGGGGGAAAGCGGGGGAGUCUUCGGACCUCGUGCUAUAGGAGGAGCCUGCGUCGGAUUAGCUAGUUGGUGAGGUAAAGGCUCACCAAGGCGACGAUCCGUAGCUGGUCUGAGAGGAUGAUCAGCCACACCGGAACUGAGACACGGUCCGGACUCCUACGGGAGGCAGCAGUGGGGAAUAUUGCGCAAUGGGCGAAAGCCUGACGCAGCCAUACCGCGUGUGUGAAGAAGGCCUUCGGUUGGUAAAGCACUUUCAGUGGGGA
rnacentral:rRNA from 1 species